UACGUAGGGGGCUAGCGUUGUCCGGAAUCAUUGGGCGUAAAGCGCGUGUAGGCGGCCCGGUAAGUCCGCUGUGAAAGUCGGGGGCUCAACCCUCGAAAGCCGGUGGAUACUGUCGGGCUCGAGUACGGGAGAGGCGAGUGGAAUUCCUGGUGUAGCGGUGAAAUGCGUAGAUAUGACGGAGGAACACCGAUGGCGAAGGCAAUCCCCUGGACCUGUGACUGACGCUCAUGCACGAAAGCGUGGGGAGCAAACGAGGAUUACGAAACCCGUGG
rnacentral:rRNA from 1 species